UGGGGUGUGAGCCUUGACCAGCUCCUAACAGCUCCUCGCUCAACAGCACCGCCCGGAGCGUCCACUUCCCCCUACCCCGUAAAAAAAAAAAACAGGGCCAUUGGUUCGGGUCGAGAGCCGCUUUGGGAAGCGUCUCUGUCACUAAGCGCUACCCCGGGGUGUGCGAGGGAGUCAAGGGACGCGGAGACCGGGAGCAGGGCUGGGUCCCCUUGCAGCCCCAGCGCUGGCCUCCUGCCCACCGCAUUCAGGCGCUGCGCCGCCCUCACACCCACCCUCUCCCACCUCAGCAGCGUGCGGGGGAAGCCUCGCGCCGGGGUCUUUUUCAGCAAGACUGUCGCGGUCCUCGGCUUCAACUGCAAGGCUGUCUGGGAAGUGAGAAUCCUCCCUAAUGGAUGUUUCACCCAAUUAAAUAAUUAACUCCAAGUGUUGCUAAGCAUCCUCGCCUCUCGCCUUCCAGUCCUGGAGGCGUCCUCAUGCCAGGCCGCGGCUGCUGCUGAGACAAGGAGCCUAGCGGGAGGAGCCAGGAGUGGGGGACAGUGCCCCUGAUGCUUCUGUACAGGAUGAGGGAGAUAAAUGCACCUGAGAGGGAAGGUAAGGAGGGCUGUUCAGAUAGGAGGCUGAGGGGAGGCUGAGACUCACAGGAAGUGGCAUUAGAACCUUCUGGAGCCUUUCUAUUGAAUAUUAAGUCCUUGAAGGUUUCCCUCUCCCCCAAUUCUUCCCAUACGCCACAGCAGGGUCCUUGUUCCUUCAAAGAAGGGGAAAGGAAGGGACACAGGCUUCUUCCUAAUGGGUAGUCUUGCGUUAUGAGGACUUACAGAGCUGAGCUGCUCUACUAACCAGACAGUCACAUAAGGAACCCCGAGGGGAGAGGCUAAAUACAUUCAUACUGUGGAAUAUCACUCAGCCGUUAAAAAGAACAAGAUACAUUUUCCUGUAUAGAUAGGAAAAGAUCUGUAAGAUACUAUAAAGUGAAAAAAUGCAGAUACCAGUAAAUGCAGUUUAAUUUAAGUAAAAAUAAUGUGCACAUGUAUGCAUAUACUUGUCUACCUGUGGAAGGAGGACUGGAACUAGGGACACCAAACUAUUCCAAGGGGUGACCUCUGUGCCUUAAAAUGGAGUGGGGAAAAGGCUAGUGCUCUCAUUUUAUUCUCUGCACCCCUGAAAUGCCUGAUUCUUGCAAGAAUGUGUUAUUAUAUCACUGCUACAAUUAAAACAGCAAUAGAGGCCGGGCGUGGUGGCUCAUUGCUUGUAAUCCCAGCACUUUGGGAGGCCGAGGCAGGUGGAUCACCUGAGGUCAAGAGUUCAAGACCAGCCUAGCCAACAUGGUGAAACCCCGUCCCUACAAAAAUACAAAAAUUAGCCAGGCAUGAUGGCAGGUGCCUGUAAUCCCAGCUACUUGGGAGGCUGAGGCAGAAGAAUCACUUGAACCUGGG
rnacentral:lncRNA from 10 species